rnacentral:rRNA from 1 species
UACGGAGGGUGCAAGCGUUAUCCGGAAUCAUUGGGCGUAAAGCGCACGUAGGCGGACCAGUUAGUCGGUUGUGAAAUACCUGGGCUUAACCCGGGAAUUGCAUUCGAUACUGCUGGCCUUGAAUGCUUGAGAGGAUGGUGGAAUUCCAGGUGUAGAAGUGAAAUUCGUAGAUAUCUGGAGGAACACCCGAGGCGAAGGCGGCCAUCUGGCAAGACAUUGACGCUGAGGUGCGAAAGCGUGGGGAGCAAACAGG